CCUGAUACCAUGUUGGUAAUGAGGUCCUUUAUCUACUGACCCAGAGUCAGAUGAACUCCUGAUACCAUGUUGGUAAUGAGGUCCUUUAUCUACUGACCCAGAGUCAGAUGAACUCCUGAUACCAUGUUGGUAAUGAGGCCCUUUAUCUACUGACCCAGAGUCAGAUGAACUCCUGAUACCAUGUUGGUAAUGAGGUCCUUUAUCUACUGACCCAGAGUCAGAUGAACUCCUGAUACCAUGUUGGUAAUGAGGUCCUUUAUCUACUGACCCAGAGUCAGAUGAACUCCUGAUACCAUGUUGGUAAUGAGGUCCUUUAUCUACUGACCCAGAUGAACUCCUGAUACCAUGU